UACGGAGGGGGCUAGCGUUGUUCGGAAUUACUGGGCGUAAAGGGCGCGUAGGCGGUGCACUAAGUCAGGCGUGAAAGCCCUGGGCUCAACCCGGGAACUGCGCUUGAUACUGGUGCGCUUGAAUCCAGGAGAGGUUGGUGGAAUUCCCAGUGUAGAGGUGAAAUUCGUAGAGAUUGGGAAGAACACCGGUGGCGAAGGCGGCCAACUGGACUGGUAUUGACGCUGAGGCGCGAAAGCGUGGGGAGCAAACAGG
rnacentral:rRNA from 1 species